rnacentral:rRNA from 1 species
UGCCAGCAGCCGCGGUAAGACGAAGGAUGCAAGCGUUAUCCGGAUUCAUUGGGUUUAAAGGGAGCGUAGGUGGCCUUAUAAGUCAGCGGUGAAAUCUCUGGGCUUAACCCAGAAAUUGCCAUUGAUACUGUAGGGCUUGAGUACAGUUGCUGUGGGCGGAAUAUGACAUGUAGUGGUGAAAUACAUAGAGAUGUCAUAGAACACCGAUUGCGAAGGCAGCUCACAAAACUGUAACUGACACUGAGGCUCGAAAGUGCGGGGAUCAAACAGGAUUAGAUACCCUGGUAGUCCGCACUGUAAACGAUGAUUACUCGCUGCUAGAGGGCAACUUUUAGUGGCUUAGCGAAAGCGAUAAGUAAUCCACCUGGGGAGUACGCCGGCAACGGUGAAACUCAAAGGAAUUGACGGGGGCCCGCACAAGC